rnacentral:rRNA from 1 species
ACAGUGAUGUGGUGCAAAACUCAAAAAGUAAGUCUCAGUUCGGAUUGAAGGCUGAAAUUCGCCUUCAUGAAGCCGGAAUUGCUAGUAAUGGCAGGUCAGCAUACUGCCGUGAAUACGUUCCCGGGCCUUGUACACACCGCCCGUCACACCAUGAGAGUUGGGAAUACCCGAAGCCUGUGAGCUAACGUUAAGAGGCAGCAGUCGAGGGUAGAAUCAAUGAUUGGGGUGAAGUCGUAACAAGGUACC